rnacentral:rRNA from 1 species
UGUGUAGUACUAUACACUCCACAAUUCUUAUCACACAAACUCUUAUGUUUUUUUGAACGUAAAACAAGUGUUAAUUUUAUUUAACCAAAUAACAAAUUAAUAACUUUUGACAACGGAUCUCUUGGUUCUCCCAUCGAUGAAGAACGCAGCGAAACGCGAUAGGUAAUGUGAAUUGCAGAAUUCAGUGAAUCAUCGAAUCUUUGAACGCAUCUUGCGCUCCUUGGUAUUCCUCGGAGCAUGCCUGUUUGAGUGUCGUGAAUAUCUCCAUUAAAAGAUUUUUUCUUUUAACGGGUCCUUGGGCUUGGUGAUGAGAUUAGCCUCUUUGUAUCACCUUGCCUUAAAAGUAUGAGUGGAUGAGUGUCAGCCAUAGAUUUUUGUUAAGGCAAACCCAUAAAAAUCUUGUGCUUUUGUCAUCUGCUACCAAACAAACACACACAUACAUAAUUCUUUAUGUAUUCCUUUCUGGCCUCAAAUCAGGUAAGAUUACCCGCUGAACUUAAG